rnacentral:rRNA from 1 species
UGCCAGCAGCCGCGGUAAUACGGGAGGGGCAAGCGUUAUUCGGAAUAACUGGGCGUAAAGAGUCCGUAGACUGUAAUAUAAGCUAUAUGUUAAAAUUUUUAGCUUAACUAAAAAAUAGCAUUUAAUACUGUUUUACUUUGAGUUUUAUUCGGAAGAGUGGUAUUUCAUGGGUAGAAGAUUUUCAAAGAUUCAUGAAGGAAUGUCGAAGGUGAAGGCAACUCUUUAGUGAAAACUGACGUUGAGGGACGAAAGUGUAGGUAGCAAACAGGAUUAGAUA